rnacentral:rRNA from 1 species
CAGCAGUCGCCACGGGAAUACGGAGGGUGCAAGCGUUAUCCGGAUUUACUGGGUUUAAAGGGUGCGUAGGCGGACUUGUAAGUCCGAGGUGAAAUCUCUGAGCUUAACUCGGAAACUGCCUUGGAUACUAUAGGUCUUGAAUCUCGUUGAGGUUUGCGGAAUAUGUCAUGUAGCGGUGAAAUGCUUAGAUAUGACAUAGAACACCUAUUGCGAAGGCAGCAGGCUAAACGAGUAUUGACGCUGAUGCACGAAAGCGUGGGGAUCAAACAGGAUUAGAUACCCCCGUAGUCCCUGUCUCUUAUAC